rnacentral:rRNA from 1 species
GACGAACGCUGGUGGCGUGCUUAACACAUGCAAGUCGAACGGAGUGGCGAACGGGUGAGUAACACGUGGGUGAUCUGCCUUGCACUUCGGGAUAAGCUUGGGAAACUGGGUCUAAUACCGGAUAGUGCAAGAUGAGGUCGCGGCCUAUCAGCUUGUUGGUGGGGUAAUGGCCUACCAAGGCGUCGACGGGUAGCCGGCCUGAGAGGGUGUACGGCCACAUUGGGACUGAGAUACGGCCCAGACGCCUACGUGAGGAAGCAGUGGGGAAUAUUGCGCAAGGGGCGGAAGGCGGAUGGAGCGACGCCGGGUGGGGGAGGAAGGCCUUCGGGUUGGAAACGCCUUUCGACAGGGACGCGGUACCUGUAUAAGAAGCACCGGCUAACUACGUGCCAGCAGCCGCGGUAAUUC